rnacentral:lncRNA from 1 species
AUGCUGUCCUCCCACCCCUGUCACCUUCUGCUGAGCACAAGAAUCAGAACCUGCACGCGUUCACCGCCCGGGGUCACUGGCCGCGAUCGCUCCCCAGAAGCGCGAGCUCCCAGCCGCGGCGCCCGGCCCUUUCCUGGCAGCGCCCGCGCCUUUCGCAGAACCCGGCGGCCCCGGCAGCCCGGCGCGCACGGAGCGGGGCGGUCCCCAGCCGCCCUCCGCCGGGGCACGUUCCGCUUCCCCGGCCGGGCACCCCGGGGUGAGCAAGCGUUCCCCAAGGGAGCCGAGCCGGAGCGGCGGGCGCGAGGGGGCUUCCCAACGCGGUGCGCGGCGCGCCAGGCACGGGCGUCCCACUCCCGGGACACCUGUGCGCCGCGCACAGCCAGCCGCGGGGCCCCGGAGCGCCGCCCGCCCUCGGCCCCCGCCCGCCAGCCCCGAACGCCAACGGGGGGCUCCGGGGCGCCCGCCUCGGCGACCGCUGCUCGCUCGCCCCCGCCCGGCCCCGGCGCGCCCGCCGGCAGCGUGCACGGCCGUCGCCCGGGACCCCGCCGCCCGACGGCCCUCCCGCCUCAGGGUCGCGUCCCCGCCGGGCUCGGGACACUCACUCUUGAGCGCGCCGAUGAGGGACUUCCCGUCCUUGAUGAGCUCCUUGAUGAAUUUGUUGGUCUUGUCCAGCUCCGCUUCGUGCGACUUGAGCGUCUCUCGGAAGUGCGGGCUGUCGAGGCAGCAGUCGCUGAAUUCCAGCGCGGGGAGCCCCAUCGCGCCCGCGUCGCCCAGCCGGGGGGCGCGCCUGCCCCAGCGCCCGGGAGGCCCGCAGCCCCGAGCACGCACGCGGCGGGACCGCGGCCGGGACCCCCGACGCCCGCCGGCUCCACAGGUGUGGCCCCGGCUCGCCCUCCGCGCGGUGUCCGCCGGCGCGCACGGCUGCCGACCCGCGCGGGGUCCCGGCCGAGGGGCGGCUGCUCCGGCGGCGCGCCACGGAGCGGCUGGCGGGCAGGAAGCGCGGCCACCGACCCGCGGCGGCGCCGGGAAGCGAGCGAGCAGGCGGGCGAGCGCGGCGGCCGCCUCCCCGCCUCCUUCGCCCGAUCGCUCGCCAGCGGCCUCGAGCGCCCUCUCACAGCAGCCUCGGCCGCCCCGCCGGCGUCCGGGCCGCUCGAACCUGCUAGCGAUGACCUAAUCCCAGGCGGACCAAUCAGCACGCCCGCCUCAGCCCGACCCCCCUGCCUCCCGGGGACAGCCGGCCCUUCCGCGGCCUUGACCCAAUCAGCGGGGUGCGGAGGCGGGGCCUGGGCCGGGGGGCGGGCCCACGCCACCGCCCAGGUCCGCAACACAGGCUCCGCCCCCUCCCGCCCGCGCGGUGUUGCAGACCCCGUGCGGGAGGGGUGA